UACGGAGGGUGCGAGCGUUGUCCGGAAUCAUUGGGCGUAAAGGGUGCGUAGGCGGUCGGGUAAGUCUGAUGUGAAAUCUCACAGCUUAACUGUGAAACUGCAUUGGAUACUAUUCGGCUUGAGAGUUGGAGGGGGGACUGGAAUUCCUGGUGUAGCGGUGAAAUGCGCAGAUAUCAGGAGGAACACCGGUGGCGAAGGCGGGUCUCUGGGCCGUAACUGACGCUGAGGAGCGAAAGCGUGGGGAGCGAACAGG
rnacentral:rRNA from 1 species